rnacentral:tRNA from 1 species
ACGGGUGUAGUUCAAUGGUAGAACAGUGGUCUCCAAAACCACCAGUGGGAGUUCAAUCCUCUCCACCCGUGCUA